rnacentral:rRNA from 1 species
UGGGGAAUAUUGCACAAUGGGCGCAACCCUGAUCCAGCCAUGCCGCGUGAGUGAUGAAGGCCUUCGGGUUGUAAAGCUCUUUUGGCGGGGACGAUGAUGACGGUACCCGCAGAAUAAGCCCCGGCUAACUUCGUGCCAGCAGCCGCGGUAAGACGAAGGGGGCUAGCGUUGUUCGGAAUUACUGGGCGUAAAGCGAGUGUAAGCGGUUGCCGUAGUCAGGUGUGAAAGCCUUGAGCUCAACUCAAGAAAUGCACUUGAUACUGGGUGACUAGAGGACCGGAGAGGAUAGUGGAAUUCCCAGUGUAGUGGUGAAAUACGUAGAGAUUGGGAAGAACACCAGUGGCGAAGGCGGCUAUCUGGACGGUUACUGACGCUAAGACUCGAAAGCGUGGGGAGCAAACAGGAUUAGAUACCCUGGUAGUCCACGCCGUAAACGAUGGGUGCUAGACGUUGGCGAGCUUGCUCGUCAGUGUCGCAGCUAACGCGUUAAGCA